ACGGCGAGUGAAGCGGUAACAGCUCAAAUUUGAAAGCUAGCUCUUUUAGGGUUCGCAUUGUAAUUUGUAGAAGAUGCUUCGGGUGUGGCCCCGGUCUAAGUUCCUUGGAACAGGACGUCAUAGAGGGUGAGAAUCCCGUAUGUGACUGGGUGCUUUCGCUCAUGUGAAGCUCUUUCGACGAGUCGAGUUGUUUGGGAAUGCAGCUCAAAAUGGGUGGUAAAUUUCAUCUAAAGCUAAAUAUUGGCCAGAGACCGAUAGCGCACAAGUAGAGUGAUCGAAAGAUGAAAAGCACUUUGGAAAGAGAGUUAAACAGUACGUGAAAUUGUUGAAAGGGAAGCGCUUGCAACCAGACUUGCGCGCUGAUGAUCAUCCGGGCUUCUGCCCGGUGCACUCGUCUGCGCUCAGGCCAGCAUCGGUUUCGGUGGUGGGAUAAAGGCCUUGGGAAUGUAGCUCCUCUCGGGGAGUGUUAUAGCCCUCGGUGCAAUGCCGCCUACCGGGACCGAGGACCGCGCUUCGGCUAGGAUGCUGGCGUAAUGGUUGUAAGCGACCCGUCUUGAAACACGGAC
rnacentral:rRNA from 1 species